AUUGAACGCUGGCGGCAGGCCUAACACAUGCAAGUCGAGCGGAUGAAGGGAGCUUGCUCCUGGAUUCAGCGGCGGACGGGUGAGUAAUGCCUAGGAAUCUGCCUGGUAGUGGGGGAUAACGUCCUGAAACGGGCGCUAAUACCGCAUACGUCCUGAGGGAGAAAGUGGGGGAUCUUCGGACCUCACGCUAUCAGAUGAGCUUAGGUCGGAUUAGCUAGUUGGUGGGGUAAAGGCCUACCAAGGCGACGAUCCGUAACUGGUCUGAGAGGAUGAUCAGUCACACUGGAACUGAGACACGGUCCAGACUCCUACGGGAGGCAGCAGUGGGGAAUAUUGGACAAUGGGCGAAAGCCUGAUCCAGCCAUGCCGCGUGUGUGAAGAAGGUCUUCGGAUUGUAAAGCACUUUAAGUUGGGAGGAAGGGCAGUAAGUUAAUACCUUGCUGUUUUGACGUUACCAACAGAAUAAGCACCGGCUAACUUCGUG
rnacentral:rRNA from 1 species